rnacentral:rRNA from 1 species
AGUGAACGCUGGCGGUAGGCCUAACACAUGCAAGUCGAACGGCAGCACAGUAAGAGCUUGCUCUUACGGGUGGCGAGUGGCGGACGGGUGAGGAAUACAUCGGAAUCUACUUUUUCGUGGGGGAUAACGUAGGGAAACUUACGCUAAUACCGCAUACGACCUACGGGUGAAAGCAGGGGAUCUUCGGACCUUGUGCGAUUGAAUGAGCCGAUGUCGGAUUAGCUAGUUGGCGGGGUAAAGGCCCACCAAGGUGACGAUCCGUAGCUGGUCUGAGAGGAUGAUCAGCCACACUGGAACUGAGACACGGUCCAGACUCCUACGGGAGGCAGCAGUGGGGAAUAUUGGACAAUGGGCGCAAGCCUGAUCCAGCCAUACCGCGUGGGUGAAGAAGGCCUUCGGGUUGUAAAGCCCUUUUGUUGGGAAAGAAAAGCAGCAGGUUAAUACCCCGCUGUUCUGACGGUACCCAAAGAAUAAGCACCGGCUAACUUCGUG